UCCCUGGUGGUCCAGUGGCUAGGACUCUGUGCUCUCAGUGCAGGGGGUCCAGGUUCAUUUCCUGGUCAGGAAA
rfam:TPA: Bos taurus chromosome 1, whole genome shotgun sequence.